rnacentral:rRNA from 1 species
GGGUUGUGAGGUUAAGCGACUAAGCGUACACGGUGGAUGCCCUGGCAGUCAGAGGCGAUGAAGGGCGUGCUAAUCUGCGAUAAGCGCCGGUAAGGUGAUAUGAACCGUUAUAACCGGCGAUACCCGAAUGGGGAAACCCAGUGUGAUUCGUCACACUAUCAUUAACUGAAUCCAUAGGUUAAUGAGGCGAACCGGGGGAACUGAAACAUCUAAGUACCCCGAGGAAAAGAAAUCAACCGAGAUUCCCCCAGUAGCGGCGAGCGAACGGGGAGGAGCCCAGAGCCUGAAUCAGCAUGUGUGUUAGUGGAAGCGUCUGGAAAGGCGCGCGAUACAGGGUGACAGCCCCGUACACAAAAGCGCAUGUGCUGUGAGCUCGAUGAGUAGGGCGGGACACGUGGUAUCCUGUCUGAAUAUGGGGGGACCAUCCUCCAAGGCUAAAUACUCCUGACUGACCGAUAGUGAACCAGUACCGUGAGGGAAAGGCGAAAAGAACCCCGGCGAGGGGAGUGAAAAAGAACCUGAAACCGUGUACGUACAAGCAGUGGGAGCCCCACCACCAAAGCAUUCUCUGGUGUUGAAGGCCCUGCAAAGCAGCAUCGCGGUGGCGGAGCGUCGUUUGCGACGCCCAACACACAAAACAAGCGGUGAGUGCUUUGGGGUGGGGUGACUGCGUACCUUUUGUAUAAUGGGUCAGCGACUUAUAUUCUGUAGCAAGGUUAACCGAAUAGGGGAGCCGGAGGGAAACCGAGUCUUAAUUGGGCGUUAAGUUGCAGGGUAUAGACCCGAAACCCGGUGAUCUAGCCAUGGGCAGGUUGAAGGUUGGGUAACACUAACUGGAGGACCGAACCGACUAAUGUUGAAAAAUUAGCGGAUGACCUGUGGCUGGGGGUGAAAGGCCAAUCAAACCGGGAGAUAGCUGGUUCUCCCCGAAAGCUAUUUAGGUAGCGCCUCGUGAAUUCAUCUCCGGGGGUAGAGCACUGUUUCGGCUAGGGGGCCAUCCCGGCUUACCAACCCGAUGCAAACUGCGAAUACCGGAGAAUGUUAUCACGGGAGACACACGGCGGGUGCUAACGUCCGUCGUGAAGAGGGAAACAACCCAGACCGCCAGCUAAGGUCCCAAAGUCAUGGUUAAGUGGGAAACGAUGUGGGAAGGCCCAGACAGCCAGGAUGUUGGCUUAGAAGCAGCCAUCAUUUAAAGAAAGCGUAAUAGCUCACUGGUCGAGUCGGCCUGCGCGGAAGAUGUAACGGGGCUAAACCAUGCACCGAAGCUGCGGCAGCGA